UCAGCAGCCGCGGUAAUACGUAGGACGCAAGCGUUAUCCGGAUUCAUUGGGUUUAAAGGGUGCGUAGGCGGGCCUUUAAGUCAGUGGUGAAAGUUUGCCGCUUAACGGUAAGAUUGCCAUUGAUACUGGAGGCCUUGAGUGCAGAUGAGGUAGGCGGAAUGUGUAGUGUAGUGGUGAAAUACUUAGAUAUUACACAGAACACCGAUUGCGAAGGCAGCUUACUAAAUUGCAACUGACGCUGAGGCACGAAAGCGUGGGGAUCAAACAGGAUUAGAUACCCUGGUAGUCCACGCCGUAAACGAUGAUAACUGGUUGUUGGCGAUACAUUGUCAGCGACUGAGCGAAAGCAUUAAGUUAUCCACCUGGGGAGUACGUCGGCAACGAUGAAACUUAAAGGAAUUGGCGGGGGA
rnacentral:rRNA from 1 species